UUCUGGAAUGAUGACGGCCAGGGCCGUGCCGCACAGGAGUCCUGCUCCCAACACGGUGACCAGCUUUAGCUUCUCCUGAUUGGACACAUUACAAGAAAAAUAAGAAAUAAAGGCGUAGUCACCUGUUGCCACUUAUACAAGAUUAAAAGCGUUAAAGGAGCGUUUACCUCUGAGAAGUUGACUGCCAAGGGAAUAGUCCCUGCCACAUAGCAGCCUACCAACAUGGCCAGAGACAGAAAACUGAUGGUGCUGAAGUCCUCCAUGGCUGCACGUGGAAAAGAAUCCCCAAAAGAUGGAGAAGAACUU